UACGGAGGGUGCAAGCGUUGUCCGGAAUCAUUGGGCGUAAAGCGCGUGUAGGCGGCUCGGUAAGUCUGCUGUGAAAGUCCAGGGCUCAACCCUGGGAUGCCGGUGGAUACUGUCGAGCUCGAGUCCGGAAGAGGCGAGUGGAAUUCCUGGUGUAGCGGUGAAAUGCGCAGAUAUCAGGAGGAACACCAAUGGCGAAGGCAGCUCGCUGGGACGUGACUGACGCUGAGACGCGAAAGCGUGGGGAGCAAACAGG
rnacentral:rRNA from 1 species